GAUGAACGCUGGCGGCGUGCCUAAUACAUGCAAGUCGAGCGAACAGACGAGGAGCUUGCUCCUUUGACGUUAGCGGCGGACGGGUGAGUAACACGUGGGUAACCUACCUAUAAGACUGGGAUAACUUCGGGAAACCGGAGCUAAUACCGGAUAAUAUUUCGAACCGCAUGGUUCGAUAGUGAAAGAUGGCUCUGCUAUCACUUAUAGAUGGACCUGCGCCGUAUUAGCUAGUUGGUAAGGUAACGGCUUACCAAGGCAACGAUACGUAGCCGACCUGAGAGGGUGAUCGGCCACACUGGAACUGAGACACGGUCCAGACUCCUACGGGUGGCAGCAGUAGGGAAUCUUCCGCAAUGGGCGAAAGCCUGACGGAGCAACGCCGCGUGAGUGAUGAAGGUCUUCGGAUCGUAAAACUCUGUUAUUAGGGAAGAACAAACGUGUAAGUAACUGUGCACGUCUUGACGGUACCUAAUCAGAAAGCCACGGCUAACUACGUG
rnacentral:rRNA from 1 species